CCUACGGGAGGCAGCAGUAGGGAAUCUUCCACAAUGGGCGAAAGCCUGAUGGAGCAACGCCGCGUGGGUGAAGAAGGUCUUCGGAUCGUAAAACUCUGUUGUUAGAGAAGAAAGUGCGUGAGAGUAACUGUUCACGUUUCGACGGUAUCUAACCAGAAAGCCACGGCUAACGACGUGCCAGCAGCCGCGGUAAUACGUAGGUGGCAAGCGUUAUCCGGAUUUAUUGGGCGUAAAGGGAACGCAGGCGGUCUUUUAAGUCUGAUGUGAAAGCCUUCGGCUUAACCGGAGUAGUGCAUUGGAAACUGGGAGACUUGAGUGCAGAAGAGGAGAGUGGAACUCCAUGUGUAGCGGUGAAAUGCGUAGAUAUAUGGAAGAACACCAGUGGCGAAGGCGGCUCUCUGGUCUGUAACUGACGCUGAGGUUCGAAAGCGUGGGUAGCAAACAGGAUUAGAUACCCGAGUAGUC
rnacentral:rRNA from 1 species